GACGAACGCUGGCGGCGUGCUUAACACAUGCAAGUCGAACGGAAAGGCCCUGCUUGCAGGGUACUCGAGUGGCGAACGGGUGAGUAACACGUGGGUGAUCUGCCCUGCACUUCGGGAUAAGCCUGGGAAACUGGGUCUAAUACCGGAUAGGACCAUCGUUUAGUGUCGGUGGUGGAAAGUUUUUCGGUGCAGGAUGAGCUCGCGGCCUAUCAGCUUGUUGGUGGGGUGAUGGCCUACCAAGGCGUCGACGGGUAGCCGGCCUGGGAGGGUGGAGUGCGACAUGGGGACUGCGACACGGCCCAGACUCCUACGGGAGGCAGCAGUGGGGAAUAUUGCACAAUGGGCGCAAGCCUGAUGCGGCGACGCCGCGUGGGGGAUGAAGGCCUUCGGGUUGUAAACUCCUUUCGCUAUCGACGAAGCCACUUGUGGUGACGGUAGGUAGAUAAGAAGCACCGGCUAACUACGUGCCAGCCGCCGAAGUAA
rnacentral:rRNA from 1 species